AUGCGGAGGUCCAAAAAGCGUCAACACGAGUCAACAACCGGUCCAUCCCAGAGGUCGGUCGAUGCCCGACAGCUAUCCCUGGGCAUCGAUGACUACGGGAUGCAUGAUCGCCACAUGGAUGGUCUGGAGGGCGACGACGAUGAUCAGCCAUCUCCUAGCGAGGCCAACUUCUCCUUCGACACCAACGCCAUGACGUUGCCCACACCAAAUUCCAAUAACCAGCCAUCUGCCAGAAGAGCGGAGUGUUGGCAGCACUUCGAAGUAUUCACCGAGAUGGUUGACGUGGUCAAAGCGAGGUUCCAGGACUACUGUAAAGCGAAGAAGAAACCUGGACGGAUGUUUGGCAUUGAUGUCAAACAUAGGUGGAACAAAACAUACCUAUUGCUGCGACAGUUAAAAGGUGCCCCUCUCUCUGUGCUGGUGGUGAAGUUGGAGGUGGUUGCUGCAGUCGAAAGGUUCAUCCCGCGAAGCCUGGAGCUCCUCACCGGUUACAUGGUUGACACCGAUGCCCAUUUGCCCUGCUUCCAGCUCUCAGUUCUUCCCCAGGCCUGCCUGCCUCCUUUCCUCCUUUCUGCUUCCAGAUCCGGCCGUGGAGUCUCUCAGUGGUUGAGGAGUUUGUUUGUCCGUGGGUUGGAAACCGCCAAGGUUGCCAUGAACUCAAUAGGUGAUGCAGUGGGGCUUGAUUAUUCUGAAGCUUUUCAACAUGUCAAUGAUGAGCUCUAUAGGGUUUUCCGUCUAUACCGAACCAAGCUUGGUGGUACUCCCCGAGUUCCUGAGCAGACCUCACAAAAGAAAGCAAGCAAGUCAAGUGCA
rnacentral:lncRNA from 1 species